rnacentral:rRNA from 1 species
UGGGGGAAACCCUGACCCAGCGACGCCGCGUGGGGGAUGAAGGCCUUCGGGUCGUAAACCUCUGUUAGGUGGGACGAACGUCUCCCUACGAAUAGUUGGGGGAUCUGACGGUACCACCAGAGAAAGCCCCGGCUAACUCCGUGCCAGCAGCCGCGGUAAUACGGAGGGGGCGAGUGUUGUUCGGAAUUACUGGGCGUAAAGGGCGCGCAGGCGGCAUGGCAAGUCGAGUGUGAAAUCCCCCGGCUUAACUGGGGAAUGGCGCUCGAAACUACCGCGCUAGAGGACGGGAGAGGGAAGUGGAACUCUCGGUGUAGGGGUGAAAUCUGUAGAUAUCGAGAGGAACACCGGUGGCGAAGGCGGCUUCCUGGCCCGUAACUGACGCUGAGGCGCGAAAGCGUGGGGAGCAAACAGGAUUAGAUACCCUGGUAGUCCACGCCCUAAACGAUGGGCACUAGGUGUGGGCGGUAUUAAUCCCGCCUGUGCCGUAGCUAACGCAUUAAGUGCCCCGCCUGGGGAGUACGGUCGCAAGGCUG